rnacentral:piRNA from 1 species
UUUAUAGAUGUCCUCCGAAAA